UGAUGCAUAAAUAACUGGUUGAUAAGGACGAUGUUGGUAGUAUUUAUUAUUUCUGACUAUCAUAUAUUGGUUAUUCUAAUAAGCAGUGUAACACAUAUAUAUGUACGUUGGUUGAUAAGAUGUACAUAACACAUAUAUUGGUUGAUAAGAUGUACAUAACACAUAUAUUGGUUGAUAAGAUGUACAUAACACAUAUACGUUGGUUGCUAAGAUGUACA